rnacentral:rRNA from 1 species
AGAGUUUGAUCCUGGCUCAGGAUGAACGCUGGCGGCGUGCUUAACACAUGCAAGUCGAACGAUCCUUCGGGAUAGUGGCGGACGGGUGAGUAACGCGUGGGAAUCUGCCCUUAGGAGGGGGAUAACGGCUGGAAACGGCCGCUAAUACCCCAUAUGCCGAGAGGUGAAACGAAUUUCGCCUGAGGAUGAGCCCGCGUCUGAUUAGCUAGUUGGUGGGGUAAAGGCCUACCAAGGCGACGAUCAGUAGCUGGUCUGAGAGGAUGAUCAGCCACACUGGGACUGAGACACGGCCCAGACUCCUAUGGGAGGCAGCAGCGGGGAAUUUUCCGCAAUGGGCGAAAGCCUGACGGAGCAACGCCGCGUGAGGGAUGAAGGCCUCUGGGCUGUAAACCUCUUUUCUCAAGGAAGAAGAACUGACGGUACUUGAGGAAUAAGCCACGGCUAAUUCCGUGCCAGCAGCCGCGGUAAUACGGGAGUGGCAAGCGUUAUCCGGAAUUAUUGGGCGUAAAGCGUCCGCAGGCGGCCUUGUAAGCCUGUUGUUAAAGCGUGGAGCUCAACUCCAUUUAAUCAAUGGAAACUACAAGGCUGGAGUGUGGUAGGGGCAGAGGGAAUUCCCGGUGUAGCGGUGAAAUGCGUAGAUAUCGGGAAGAACACCAGUGGCGAAGGCGCUCUGCUGGGCCAUAACUGACGCUCAUGGACGAAAGCCAGGGGAGCGAAAGGGAUUAGAUACCCCUGUAGUCCUGGCCGUAAACGAUGAACACUAGGUGUCGGGGGAAUCGACCCCCUCGGUGUCGUAGCCAACGCGUUAAGUGUUCCGCCUGGGGAGUACGCACGCAAGUGUGAAACUCAAAGGAAUUGACGGGGGCCCGCACAAGCGGUGGAGUAUGUGGUUUAAUUCGAUGCAACGCGAAGAACCUUACCAGGGUUUGACAUCCUGCGAAUCCCUUGGAAACGAGGGAGUGCCUUCGGGAGCGCAGUGACAGGUGGUGCAUGGCUGUCGUCAGCUCGUGUCGUGAGAUGUUGGGUUAAGUCCCGCAACGAGCGCAACCCACGUCUUUAGUUGCCAGCAUUCAGUUGGGCACUCUAGAGAGACCGCCGGUGAUAAACCGGAGGAAGGUGUGGAUGACGUCAAGUCAUCAUGCCCCUUACAUCCUGGGCUACACACGUACUACAAUGCUACGGACAAAGGGCAGCAAGCUCGCGAGAGUUAGCAAAUCCCAUAAACCGUGGCUCAGUUCAGAUCGUAGGCUGCAACUCGCCUACGUGAAGGAGGAAUCGCUAGUAAUCGCAGGUCAGCAUACUGCGGUGAAUACGUUCCCGGGCCUUGUACACACCGCCCGUCACACCAUGGAAGUU